rnacentral:lncRNA from 1 species
AAAAAACAAAACCUAAAAGACCCUAAAACAUUUCAGCCGCCACACCUUGAGACCGCCCCUCCCCGUCCGUUCUUCUUCUCCGUCCAAACCACCACCUUCACCCCACAUCGGAAACAACCCACCCCCCCCCCCUUUUUUAGCAUUUAAUAUCAAAGCUGUGUAAUUUUAUUGGUAUUUAAUUGUGUGUGACAAUUAUUAUAGGAUUUAAUUAGUACUUUAAGAUAAUUCUAAUUUUUAUAAUUUAAUCUUAGCAUUUUUAGUUUUAUUAAUUAGGAAGUUGAAUAAAUAGAAAAGAAACAAAGAGAAAAAGAGUUGAAAAUCGGAAUUGGGCUCCUUCUUCAAUUUUAAACCUAGAACCAAAAUAUCCCCUACCCAACCUAAAACCCACUGACCCGGUCCAUUUCCACUCUCCCUUUUGAUUUUUCAGAUUUUUCGUUCUUUGACUUCCCUAACAAAUACAAAAAACAAAACCUAAAAGACCCUAAAACAUUUCAGCCGCCACACCUUGAGACCGCCCCUCCCCGUCCGUUCUUCUUCUCCGUCCAAACCACCCCCUUCCCCCCACAUCGGAAACAACCCCCCCCCCCCCCUUCGUCACUGUCGUCGUCCCCGUUGACCAAAACAGUCGCCUCCCAUCUCCAACGAGCCAUCAACGACCAGCCUUCACGUCCAAAAUGAACCCCACAAUUUCCAGCCAUCUCCAGCUCCAAACAACCCCUAUUUCCUCAACUUCCAGGUUCACAUCUCCAGCGAACCAAUAGUCAUGUCCAGCAACGUCGGAGUCCAUCCGUUCUUCGCCAGGAACGUCGACCAGCCGCCAGUCCACCACCAGCCUUCUAUUGUCUUCUUCAGUCCAUUGUCGACCGCUCCGUUCACUUCUAGACAGCCUGCACAUAGAAACUGAGUUUGGAUUUGUUAUGGACUUCAUGUAAACUUCAUAAGUUUCAUUUCUUCUGAUUUUAAUAUAAAUAGACUCAAGUCCGGUCAUGGAGUUUUGUUCGAGUUUUAUUGUUGUUUCGUUGGUUUGGUGUGACUAGUCGAGGUAGCAGUUUUCCGUCGAGGUUCAUUCAAGCAUUCGCCAGUCGUGAUUCCUGUUUGAGAUUCAUUAUUCCCGAUGCUAUCUUUGUUCAUUUUUAAGAAGCUCGGAUCAAACAUCGGUUACACAAGGAACUUGUGGUACAGUUUGUAGAAUUAUUAUUCAGAUGUGUUAUGUUAUUUCUCUUCUCUUCGUUGUCUAUCAUUUGUUGCAUAUGAGUUUAGUAUAUUAUAGUGUUCAUUCAUGUUUGUUUAAGUCAUAAGUGUGUUAGCCCAUGCAUUGAGUUGUGUCAAUCGUGAUUCAAAACUUUACCUUAAUAGUUCACUCCAACUAUUUCUGAAUCAUUGAAUCUUUCAUCUUGAUUGUAAUGAUGUUUGAUUUAAUUUGACGUUCAACUUAUAUUGUGUUUA